rnacentral:other from 1 species
AAAUUUCUGAGAUACCUGCAAGGGCCAGCCCCUUGAGCCGAUAUUUCAUACCACAAGAAUGUGCGCUCCAUGGUUGGUGAGCAUGCUCGGUCUGUCCGAGAAGCCUUAAAAACUAUGACGACAUAUCUACCUUGGAACCAAGGGUUCAAGGGUUACAGCCUGCGGCGGCAUCUCGAGAUUCC